AUUGAACGCUGGCGGCAUGCUUUACACAUGCAAGUCGAACGGUAACAGGCCGCAAGGUGCUGACGAGUGGCGAACGGGUGAGUAAUGCAUCGGAACGUGCCCAGUCGUGGGGGAUAACGUAGCGAAAGCUACGCUAAUACCGCAUACGAUCUGUGGAUGAAAGCGGGGGACCGUAAGGCCUCGCGCGAUUGGAGCGGCCGAUAUCAGAUUAGGUAGUUGGUGGGGUAAAGGCCUACCAAGCCGACGAUCUGUAGCUGGUCUGAGAGGACGACCAGCCACACUGGGACUGAGACACGGCCCAGACUCCUACGGGAGGCAGCAGUGGGGAAUUUUGGACAAUGGGCGCAAGCCUGAUCCAGCAAUGCCGCGUGCAGGAUGAAGGCCUUCGGGUUGUAAACUGCUUUUGUACGGAGCGAAAAGGCUCUCUCUAAUACAGGGGGCUCAUGACGGUACCGUAAGAAUAAGCACCGGCUAACUACGUGCCAGCAGCCGCAGUAAAAC
rnacentral:rRNA from 1 species